CAUAUCACAACUUUUUUCCCUCAACGAAGUUCACUUUUCAGAAAUUGUGAACUGUAGUUCAUCAAAACAUGGCCUCUGUAUCUCAAUCUUUACUAUGGCCUCUGUAUCUCAAUCUUUACUAUACUAUGUACUACUGAAGAAUACAGAAUGCGAGCCGAGCAGACGAAAUAAACUGCGGUACUUGGAAGUUGGAACCUGGUUGGAAAGACGAACCAACAACCAAAUACAUGUAAAAGUUUUGGCUUGCAUAGAAUCCGACAGUUCAACAGGAAAUUAUGUAUUUGUAACAGAACUGGAACUACAUCUAGAUAUACGCCUAAUUAAUCGAGACUAUUUAGAUUAAUGGUGCGCAGGCUGGCUCACCACAAGGCAAGAUUGAGACUGAAAGCUUUUGAAACUGAAACACAACGCGUGUAAAACUAACAAAUCACUUAAGAAUAACAAGAAA